rnacentral:rRNA from 1 species
UACGUAGGGUGCGAGCGUUAAUCGGAAUUACUGGGCGUAAAGCGUGCGCAGGCGGUGAUGUAAGACAGAUGUGAAAUCCCCGGGCUCAACCUGGGAACUGCAUUUGUGACUGCACGGCUAGAGUGCGGCAGAGGGGGAUGGAAUUCCGCGUGUAGCAGUGAAAUGCGUAGAUAUGCGGAGGAACACCGAUGGCGAAGGCAAUCCCCUGGGCCUGCACUGACGCUCAUGCACGAAAGCGUGGGGAGCAAACAGG